GUGGGGAAUCUUGCGCAAUGGGCGAAAGCCUGACGCAGCCAUGCCGCGUGAAUGAUGAAGGUCUUAGGAUUGUAAAAUUCUUUCACCGGGGACGAUAAUGACGGUACCCGGAGAAGAAGCUCCGGCUAACUUCGUGCCAGCAGCCGCGGUAAUACGAAGGGGGCUAGCGUUGCUCGGAAUUACUGGGCGUAAAGGGCGCGUAGGCGGACAGCUUAGUCAGAGGUGAAAGCCCAGGGCUCAACCUUGGAAUUGCCUUUGAUACUGGCUGUCUUGAGUUUGGGAGCGGUGAGUGGAACUCCGAGUGUAGAGGUGAAAUUCGUAGAUAUUCGGAAGAACACCAGUGGCGAAGGCGACACACUGGCUCAUUACUGACGCUGAGGCGCGAAAGCGUGGGGAGCAAACAGGAUUAGAUACCCGUGUAGUCC
rnacentral:rRNA from 1 species